AAACUUAUUGGUGUCACUUAUGGCGUAGAACUUUCGAAGCGAUGGAGCACAUAUUCCACGCACGCAAAUCCAGAACAAUGUAUGGAAACGUUGCUACAUGGAACACAAAUCAUUUACACACCAGAUAUUAAGUUUUAUGUCACUUUAUGCAGCUAAACACAGAAAUUAAAGGGAGGACUUUUUUGAUUAAUUUUCACCUUGUAUUGAGGAAUCAUAACGUUGUUGUAUCUCUUUACACGGACAUAAAUUCACCGAAAUUAGUUCAAUGGAAAUACUACAGCAAGAGUAUGGAUGUUAAGAUUUGAACGGUGCCAACAUAAGAAACCCUCCUCCCAGAUGAAUCUAGUGCUAGUGAAAUUAAUGAAAGAACAGAUCUUAUAAAAACUCCUAAAGAAACCAAAAGAGUCCUCACAUAAUGUGCGCAGCUUACACUUCCAACCCGCACGGGGUAUUUGACAUUUGUCAGUCUUCCUCCAGCCUUUGUCCGAUAGCAAAAAUUGUUCAACUAUUCAAUUCUUUAUACAUAUGUAUAUAGUGUAGUACGAUAAUAUAUGUAUAAAGUAAAUAUAAUAAUAAACACCUAAAUGGCAUGAUAUUUUCAAU